CAAAAUGGCGCCAGACCUUCACGGCACUUCUGGAUUCCUCCGCCGCGCCGGCGAUUACCUUCGGCGGCAGCGAAGCUCUAAUGCCUACCACAAACACAUCAUCUCAUUCACCUUCUCAGUCUGGUUCCGAAACUCUCUACGAAAUGGUCUAAUUCCUUCUUAGCAUGUUGAAUCGAAGGAGGGAACCCCGAAAGCCCUAAAAUUCUAACCUAAGAUUGAAUCGUUCUCCUGCGGAAUCAAAGCCCUAGGGGUUAGGGCUUUGAUUCCCCUAGCUCAGGUUUACGUUCUGAUAUCAAAUUACAUGCAAAUUGAGGAAGCAAAGUUCACCUGUGAAAUUCUCCGGCGACGGUUGCGACGGGGACGACAAGAGGUUAAUGGUUCAUGGUGUAGAAUCCAAGGAAAUCCUUUGUUGAAAGCGAUUCUGAAUCGGUUGCUAUGAGUUUGUGUGAUUUCGGUACCAAAAUGGCUCCUUUGUGAAAUUGGCUAGAGAUUUCGGUUUGUUCUGUUAGGAUUUUUGUGCAGUUCUAUGGUAUUGCAUACGGUUGCUACCAGUCUCUGUUAUGAGGUCGGAGGAGAAGUCGAUCUUUCCACGUUCUGGAAAUUGAAGUCAUGCCGUAUGCCGACUUUCUUUUGUUGAGUCUUUUUGCCGCAAGAAUAAACAUCCAACCUUCAAUGGUAAAUGAGACACUUCCUUACUCUAACCAUCAUUUUUUAUCACCUGAAUUUCGCGUUACUUGUGAAGCGUGUUACCAUUCUACAUGAAGUAAUUUUACGAGACGUUUCUCAAGCAAAUGGUUUGACGAGAAAGAGAUGUUUGUGUUAUUUGUCGGGGAGGUGUAACAGAGUUUUGUGAAUUUCAAUAUGGAGCAACGUUAUGCUGGCUUAUGAACUUUAGACAACCAACCUACAUGUUGUGACUCUUUUGUAGUACAGGAAAAGGGGUACCUUUGCUUUAUCACCAGUGCUAUCAGGACUAGCUGGUGAUUUUGAGAAUUUAAAAGGAAGUUCAGUCAGCAUAUCUGAUGGACUGAACCUGAAUUGACCUCCGAGACAGGCAGAAUUGGUAGCUUCUCACAUUCUGCUUGAACAGGUGGAAGAGCAACUUCCAGUAAUAUGCUUGAUGAACCUCUUCAACGGUGAGGAUGGACAAUCACACUCCCGUUGCUCUCUGUGUCGCGUUUUUAAUACAUGAACAGAAGCUGGAUGAUUAUGCAUUUCAUCAAUCUCGUCUUGCUUCACAUUAACGGUUUGUCCGUCGCCGUGGGGUUGUGUUUUGGAUGGGCCUCCUACAUUGUGGCUUUCUCAUGACUCUUUAAAGGAGCAGUCAAGGUAGAUCAUACUGCCAUUGAAGUGGCUCUGUGAUUUUGCUUCAUUGGCAUUCACCCUGUUAAAGUGUAGAGAAAGCAUUUAGUGCUUUUCCUCUCUAUGCAAGCCUUUUGACAAACAUGACUCAACAACUACAGCAAGAGGACCCUUCAUGAUUUGGCAAAUCAUUUCGUCCAGCAUCUUCCACCCUUUCUCCCCAACGGAAAUUGCCUCAGUACUUGCUAAAGAGUUUUGAAAAACAAAUAGAAAAAUAAAAAAGUUUGUUCAUAAAAAUACAGAGAGCUUAUUGAAAAAAAGAGUUUAAUCAUAUUGUAUUAGCAUCAUGUAUAUGUCAUGCA